ensembl:lncRNA novel transcript, antisense to TMA7
ACCCGGCCCCGCCCGGUGUUUAGAGGUCCACGGGCGGGAUUCGGCAGGUUUGCUGCAAGGACUCAGUGCGGCGCGACCCGUUACCGGAGAGGCGGGCCGGAGGCGCACCAGCUCCGCCGCGCUGGUGGCUUUGCGCUCCCUCCCUGGCAUUCCGUGGAGGAGGGCCGCGCAGGAGCAGCCUGCCCUAGCAUUCACGCGUGUUGCGUUUGAGUCGAGCCAGGCAUCAUUCAGGGAUGUGGUCUCCGUGACCUCGCUUUCCUUCUGCCGCCAGACCCACCUCCCACAAACCCCUAGGCUUUCUUGAGGAGAGUGGAAUUUGUUGGGGUCUUGUUCUGUCUCCCAGGCUGGAGUGCAGUGGUGUGAUCUUGGCUCACUGCAGCCUCGAACUCCUGGGCUCAAGUGAUCCUCCCACCUCAGCCUCCCAAAUGGCUGGGACUACAGAAGUGCACCACCACACCCAGCUAACUCUUCCUAAGGAAUGGAAGCCCAGACUGCCUGGGAGGCAGGAGACCUCGUUUCCAGCUCCCGGCCCUUACUGCCGCUGCAAAU